CUCCCUAGUGCUCCCGCCUGUUGCUCAGGGACGGACGGACUCCUGCCUCUCUCGCGUCAGAAGAUCUUGGAUUGGCAAAACUGAGACCUUGAACCCAGCCCCAGUGAAGCCCCCUUUCCAAGAGGUGUGUGUCUUGACAGCCAGCUCUGCAUGGCCACCAUUAUCAGUGUUCACAGGCCAGAGCGGGACAAGCUGAGCACAUAUCUCUCCCACUAGCUCAGCUGCACCCAGAAACCUCGUGGAAAGGGCUUCUCACCUCUAGAAAUUUGUGGGGGCCUGCAGAGUUCCUGCAAACUACCAGACCCUGGAAGC
rnacentral:lncRNA from 1 species